UACGGGGGGGGGCAAGCGUUAUUCGGAAUUAUUGGGCGUAAAGGGCGCGUAGGCGGCUACACAAGUGGCGGGUGAAAUCCCUCGGCUUAACCGAGGAACUGCCUGCCAGACUGUGUGGCUUGAGACCGGGAGAGGUGAGUGGAAUUCCCAGUGUAGCGGUGAAAUGCGUAGAUAUUGGGGAGGAACACCAGUGGCGAAGGCGGCUCACUGGACCGGAACUGACGCUGAGGCGCGAAAGCGUGGGGAGCAAACAGG
rnacentral:rRNA from 1 species